AGAGCAAUGGGUGAAUGCCUUGGUAUUAGGAGCCGAUGAAGGACGUAGAAAGCUGCGAAAAGCUACGGGGAGACGCACACAGUUAGUGAUCCGUAGAUGUCCGAAUGGGGAAACCCAGCUGAGAAAAGCUCAGUUAUCCAUAGUUGAAUAAAAUAGGCUAUGGAGGGGAAACGUUGUGAACUGAAACAUCUAAGUAGCAACAGGAGGAGAAAGAAAACUCGAUUUCCUGAGUAGUGGCGAGCGAAAGGGAAACAGGCCAAACCAAACCAAGCAAUUGGAUUGGGGUUACGGACUGCAGACGUUAUUGAGAGAAGAUAGUCGAAUUGUAUUGGGAAAGCAAACCAAAGAUGGUGAAAGUCCAGUAGACGAAAUUGGAAAUCAGACAGCAGUAUCCAGAGUACCACGGGACACGAGAAACCCUGUGGGAAGUCGGGGGGACCACCCCCCAAGCCUAAAUACUCCCUAAUGACCGAUAGUGAAUAAGUACUGUGAAGGAAAGGUGAAAAGAACCCCGGGAGGGGAGUGAAAGAGAACCUGAAACCCAUUGUUUACAGACGUCGGGAGUCAACUUAGGUUGACAACCGAGUACUUUUUGUAGAACGGUCCGGCGAGUUACGUUAGUAAGCGAGGUUAAGUGCUUAAGGCACGAAGCCGAAGGGAAACCAAGUCUGAAUAGGGCGACAAAGUUUGCUGGCGUAGACCCGAAACCAGGUGACCUAUCCAUGGUCAGGUUGAAGUUACCGUAAAAGGUAAUGGAGGACCGAACCCACAUAUGUUGAAAAAUAUGGGGAUGAACUGUGGAUAGCGGAGAAAUUCCAAUCGAACCUGGAGAUAGCUGGUUCUCCUCGAAAUAGCUUUAGGGCUAGCCUUGAUAAGAGUCUAAUGGAGGUAAAGCACUGAACUGGUGCGGGGUCCUAACGGAUUACCAAUCCAAAUCAAACUAAGAAUGCCAUCGAGAUACUAUCAGGAGUCAGACUAUGUGAGAUAAGUUUCAUAGUCGAAAGGGAAAGAGCCCAGACCAACAGCUAAGGUCCCAAAGUACAUGUUAAGUGGAAAAGGAUGUGAGAUUUCAAAGACAACUAGGAUGUUGGCUCAGAAGCAGCCAUUCAUUUAAAGAGUGCGUAACAGCUCACUAGUCGAGAGGUCUUGCGCCGAAAAUGUCCGGGGCUAAAACAUGUCACCGAAGCUAUGGAUUUCAUACUAAGUAUGGAGUGGUAGAGGAGCAAAUUGCAAGGAAGAAGCCUAACUGUAAGGAAAGGUGGACGAAGCAAAAGAGAGAAUGCCGGAAUGAGUAGCGAGAUACAUGUGAGAAUCAUGUAGGGCGAAUGUCUAAGGAUUCCUGAGUAAAGCUGAUCUACUCAGGGUAAGUCGGGACCUAAGGCGAGGACGAAAGUCGUAGUCGAUGGACAACAGGUAGAAAUUCCUGUACUGCAUAUAUUCAGAACUGUGGGGACACAGGAGGAUAGGAAAACCGGGAAAAGGAAAUGCCCGGCCAAGCACAAAGUUUAGGAUGGUAGGAAAAUCCGCCGUUUGAUGAUGAAGUGUGAUGGGGAGUGAAGAAUAGUAGCGAAGUUUUUGAAUCCACACUGUCGAGAAAAUCCACUAUUGCGAUAUAUGCACCCGUACCGUAAACCGACACAGGUAGACGAGGAGAAAAUCCACAGCCCGACGGGAGAAGUGUUGUUAAGGAACUCGGCAAAAUGACCCCGUAACUUAGGGAUAAGGGGUACCAACGCAAGUUGGUCACAGAGAAGAGGCCCAAGCGACUGUUUAACAAAAACACAGGUCUAUGCGAAACCGAAAGGUGAUGUAUAUGGGCUGACGCCUGCCCGGUGCUGGAAGGUUAAGGGGAGAGGUUAGGAGUAAUCCGAAGCUUUGAACUCAAGCCCCAGUAAACGGCGGCCGUAACAAUAACGGUCCUAAGGUAGCGAAAUUCCUUGUCAGGUAAGUUCUGACCCGCACGAAAGGCGUAACGAUUUGGGCACUGUCUCAACAACACACCCGGUGAAAUUGGAAUAUCAGUGAAGAUACUGAUGACCCGCGAUAGGACGGAAAGACCCCAUGGAGCUUUACUGCAGCUUAAUAUUGGGAUUUGGUAUUGCAUGUACAGGAUAGGAGGGAGACUAGGAAGUAUAAACGCCAGUUUAUAUGGAGUCGAUGUUGGGAUACCUCUCUUGCAAUACUGGAUUUCUAACUUGUAGCCAUUAUCUGGCUAAAGGACAUUGUUAGGCGGGCAGUUUGACUGGGGCGGUCGCCUCCGAAAGAGUAACGGAGGCGCUCAAAGGUCACCUCAGAAUGAUUGGAAACCAUUCGUAGAGUGUAAAGGCAGAAGGUGGCUUAACUGCGAGUGCGACGGCACGAGCAGGUACGAAAGUAGGACUUAGUGAUCCGGUGGUAAUAAGUGGGAAUGCCAUCGCUCAACGGAUAAAAGCUACCCUGGGGAUAACAGGCUUAUCUCCCCCAAGAGUUCACAUCGACGGGGAGGUUUGGCACCUCGAUGUCGGCUCAUCGCAUCCUGGGGCUGAAGAAGGUCCCAAGGGUUGGGCUGUUCGCCCAUUAAAGCGGUACGCGAGCUGGGUUCAGAACGUCGUGAGACAGUUCGGUCCCUAUCCGUCGUGGGCGUAGGAAAUUUGAGAAGAGCUGACCUUAGUACGAGAGGACCGGGUUGGACGAAUCAAUGGUGUAUUUGUUGGUCACCAAGGCCAUGGCAAAGUAGCUAAAUUCGGAACGGAUAAACGCUGAAGGCAUCUAAGCGUGAAGCCGCCUUUAAGACAAGAUUUCCCAUGCCGCAAGGUAGUAAGGCCCCUUGA
rnacentral:rRNA from 1 species